UACGUAGGGUGCAAGCGUUAAUCGGAAUUACUGGGCGUAAAGCGUACGCAGGCGGCUUUGCAAGACAGGUGUGAAAUCCCCGGGCCUAACCUGGGAACUGCAUUUGUGACUGCAUGGCUAGAGUUUGUCAGAGGGGGGUGGAAUUCCACGUGUAGCAGUGAAAUGCGCAGAUAUCAGGAGGAACACCGGUGGCGAAGGCGGUUCUCUGGGAAUGUCCGUGACGCUGAGGAGCGAAAGUGUGGGGAGCGAACAGG
rnacentral:rRNA from 1 species